AAUGAACGCUGGCGGCGUGCCUAACACAUGCAAGUCGAACGGAGAAUUAGCAAUAAUUCUUAGUGGCGAACGGGUGAGUAACGCGUAGACAACCUACCCUUUAGAUGGGGACAACACCGCGAAAGUGGUGCUAAUACCGAAUAUUGCUUGAGAAGCGCAUGCUUUUCAAACUAAAGAUGGCCUCUAUUUAUAAGCUAUCGCUAAAGAAUGGGUCUGCGUCUGAUUAGCUAGUUGGUGAGAUAAAAGCUCACCAAGGCAACGAUCAGUAGCCGGUCUGAGAGGAUGAACGGCCACACUGGGACUGAGACACGGCCCAGACUCCUACGGGAGGCAGCAGUGGGGAAUCUUCCGCAAUGGACGAAAGUCUGACGGAGCAACGCCGCGUGAGUGAUGAAGGUUUUCGGAUCGUAAAACUCUGUUGUUAAGGACGAAUGUAUAGAUUGUGAAUAAUGGUUUAUAAUGACGGUACUUAACGAGGAAGCCACGGCUAACUACGUGCCAGCAGCCGCCGUAA
rnacentral:rRNA from 1 species